GGGUAGGCUACUUUCUGUGCCUCAUUUGUCUUAUCUGUGUAAUAUAAAGAUGAUAAUACUAGUACUUCCCUCACCUGCUAUUGUGAGAAUUGAAUUACACAUUUUAAAUGAGUUAAUACCUUAGUCUGGUAAGCACUCAAUAACUAUAAGCUAUUAUUCAUAAUUUAGAAGCAACCUCUCUAUUUCCUAAAAUAUGCCUAUUCAUUAAUAAGAAGAGAGUAAUGAUGAAAGCUAGGAACUAUUAUUUCCAUUGAUAUAAAAAGUAGACUCUUAGAACUGCAAAAGAUCCAAGAAACUAUUUAGACCAUUGAGUCUUAAUCAGUAAUAUGUAUCACAAUCACUUAUGAGGUGUUGUCAAGAUAUAGUUACCCAGGCCCCCACUUCUUACAUCUAUUAAGUCAGAAAUGUCCACAGGCACGCCCAUUGUAGCCUUUCUGCUAAAACCCACUGUUAAGGCUUUAGAUUUUACAAUAAGCAAAUUGAGUCUCAAGAGUAAAUGAUUUGCCUAAGACCCCAUAGGGUAAAGCCCCUUAAGGGAUCCAAGUCACUUACCUCCUUGGUGAGUGAUCUUUCUAUUCUUUCAUGUUGCUUGCCCAAUAUAUUAACUUUUAAACUAAUAUAGGAGUUUAUCCUUCUUUUAGUAAUAUCAGGAAGUAUAGUAAAUGAUUUAAAACUGUAUUUUAACAACAUUUAAUUCAAAAUAACAAAAUUUAUUUUACAAGUCAUGCUGAGAACUAUUGCACAUUUACAAUAGGAUUUUAAAUGAAUUUUCCUGGGCUUUUCAUGUGAACAUUAGUCUUUGCCAUAAUGCUUGCUGCUAAUUAGUGCAAGAAAACACUGUGUGUGGCAAAAGAGCUGCUCAGUCCAACCUCUCAGACUGACAGGCAAACAAAUGUUUUAUAGGGUAAGGUAACUGUAGCUGUUUUGUAGCUUGAGAGCUUUCAAAAAUAAAAUAUGCACUUCUUCUAAUUAGGUGGGGUUUUUUAACCUUUGUGAAAUAUUCUUAGAAGUUUCUAGUCUAUGAAUAGUUAAUGCAGAAAAAUUAAUGGUGAUUAGGUACAGUGCUUUACCAAUUGGUAG
rnacentral:lncRNA from 1 species